rnacentral:rRNA from 1 species
AUUGAACGCUGGCGGAAUGCUUUACACAUGCAAGUCGAACGGCAGCACGGGGCAACCUGGUGGCGAGUGGCGAACGGGUGAGUAAUACAUCGGAACGUGCCCAAUCGUGGGGGGAUAACGUAGCGAAAGUUACGCUAAUACCGCAUACGAUCUACGGAUGAAAGCGGGGGAUCGCAAGACCUCGCGCGAAUGGAGCGGCCGAUGUCAGAUUAGGUAGUUGGUGGGGUAAAGGCUCACCAAGCCGACGAUCUGUAGCUGGUCUGAGAGGACGACCAGCCACACUGGGACUGAGACACGGCCCAGACUCCUACGGGAGGCAGCAGUGGGGAAUUUUGGACAAUGGGCGCAAGCCUGAUCCAGCCAUUCCGCGUGCAGGAUGAAGGCCUCGGUGUAACGUAG